rnacentral:pre_miRNA from 1 species
CUGUUAAUGCUAAUCGUGAUAGGGGUUUUGCCUCUGACUGACUCCUACAUGUUAGCAUUAACAG